rnacentral:rRNA from 1 species
UACGGAGGGGGCUAGCGGUGUUCGGAAUUACUGGGCGUAAAGCGCGCGUAGGCGGACUUGAAAGUCAGAGGUGAAAUCCCAGGGCUCAACCCUGGAACUGCCUUUGAAACUUCUGGUCUUGAGGACGAGAGAGGUGAGUGGAAUUCCGAGUGUAGAGGUGAAAUUCGUAGAUAUUCGGAGGAACACCAGUGGCGAAGGCGGCUCACUGGCUCGUUGCUGACGCUGAGACGCGAAAGCGUGGGGAGCAAACAGG